UACAGAGGGGGCAAGCGUUGUUCGGAAUUACUGGGCGUAAAGGGCGCGUAGGCGGCCUGUUAAGUCGAACGUGAAAUCCCCGGGCUCAACCCGGGAACUGCGUCCGAUACUGGCAGGCUUGAAUCCGGGAGAGGGAUGCGGAAUUCCAGGUGUAGCGGUGAAAUGCGUAGAUAUCAAGCGGAACACCGGUGGCGAAGGCGGCAUCCUGGACCGACACUGACGCUGAUGCGCGAAAGCCAGGGGAGCAA
rnacentral:rRNA from 1 species